rnacentral:rRNA from 1 species
AUUGAACGCUGGCGGCAUGCCUUACACAUGCAAGUCGAGCGCGAAAGGGGGCAACCCCGAGUAGAGCGGCGGACGGGUGAGUAACACAUCGGAACGUGCCCAGUAGUGGGGGACAACCUCGAGAAAUCGAGGCUAAUACCGCAUACGACCCACGGGUGAAAGCGGGGGACCCAAAGGAAACUGAGGGCCUCGCGCUAUUGGAGCGGCCGAUGUCCGAUUAGCUAGUUGGCGGGGUAAGAGCCCACCAAGGCGACGAUCGGUAGCUGGUCUGAGAGGACGACCAGCCACACUGGGACUGAGACACGGCCCAGACUCCUACGGGAGGCAGCAGUGGGGAAUUUUGGACAAUGGGGGCAACCCUGAUCCAGCCAUGCCGCGUGCGGGAAGAAGGCCUUCGGUU